GCUAGAAAAGCUUUGUUUUAAGCGUUGGUCUUGUAAACCAAAGAAGAAUAACCAUUUCUUCUAGCAAACUACUA
rnacentral:tRNA from 1 species